rnacentral:lncRNA from 1 species
GUUACAGGAGAGGGGUCCUGAUCCAGACCCCAAGAGAGGGUUCUUGGAUUUGGAUCCUGUGCAAGAAAGAAUUCAGGGGACUUAGAAUGCCUGACCAUGUGGGAAUGCAGCCCAGUAGGACUCAGUCUCAUUUUACCCAGCCCCUGUUCAAGAUGGAGUCGCUCUGGUUCACACGCCUCAGACACAGCCUCUGCCUCCCGCCUCAGCCUCCUAAGCAGCUGGGACUACAGGGCAUACCUGAUUUUCUCGACCUCUUUUAUGAAAUAUCCCCGCCAGACUCCCUCGACCGUGCCACCCCCAGGUUCCCGUGCAUAC